ACAAUGCAUCUGGAAUCUGCAUUCGAGUAUGAGUAUGUUUUCCUUGGUCAAUGAAAGAAAUGUUUCUGUUGUAUUAUGAUAAUAUCAUAAUAUGAAGAUGUUGAUUUGUAUUUCAUGUUUGAAGUUGUGACUGUUUAAAAGAGUGGCAUGCACCAACACUUCUUCAAAUACAGGAGAAAGAAAACCCCCCGUGGCGCAAUGGGAGACAAGUUAGUAAGGCAGGCAACCGAUGAGAAUUGAAGUCUUUAAGUGCUAUUUGGCUAGUCUUUGUUAAAAGAAACAGAGAUCAGGUCCUUUCUGCUCACCUUGUAUGGAAUAUGAGGUUGAUAAUAACCCUGGUGCAUUUGAAUUUGUGCGGAUAUUAUCUAUCAGGUGCUUCACACCAAAUGAAGUUCUUAAUUUAUUACAAUAAUUUAUUACAAUAAUUAAUUUUAUUAUUAUAAGGAGAGUAAAUAAUAAUUUUCGUCAAAAAUUUCUAUGUUUUUUUUCUGUAGCCUGUAUCAGCUCGCCCAGUCGAGCUGUGUCAUUGCUCAGUAAGCAUAGAAAACAAAAACAGCAAAGCUCCUGGCAAUGACUGGGCGUCUCAGAUCGCGUCUCCCUCUUCUCACCAGGAUUAUGAGAUCCGAUUCCCUCUCUGCUUCCUGAUCGGCGUUUCAAUGCUUCGUUCUCCGCCCUGCUUUCUUAUCCGAGGUAGCCCUGCAAAACCCAAUAACUCUUGAAAUCUUAACACAGGUAAAGUGAAAUAGUAAUUUAGGGCUGAGUUGAGCAACGAUUGUGCCUUUUUUAUCAGGUCUUACAAUGAUGGCUGUUCCCUGUUCUAUAAUCUCGUUUCACUAUAAUUGAUUUGAUUUUGCACCGUAGUUCUUGCAUGUUCUAUACAAACUGUAGGAAUCAUUAUUAAUUUUCGAGAGCAAGUUGUUUCUGCCUUCUCUCUUCUUGUGCACUGAGUAAUGACUAAUUAUGCUACUGCAUAGGGACAAAAGGAGGAGAAGGUUAAGUUAAGUAAACUUAUUGUUUUGAUGGUGCUUAUUGGACAUAUGAAUGUGUGUCUGUUUGCGUGUGUAUGCGCGCUCGCAUGCAAAAGUAUGGUUGUGACCAUUCUUUAGGCAUUGAUGAACAAAAGAUGUCCUUUUGGCUUAGAUGAAUCAAAAUUGGAUUCGGUUAUAUUAAAUAAAUUUCCACUGCUUUUCUUGAAAACUCCAUGAUAGAGAUUAAGUGGGACAAAAUGCAUCUUCUUAUAGCAUGGCUAUUUCAUGUAGCAUUUUCAAGUGACCCUUGAUUGUAAUUGUUCUUUAAAGAAAUAGAAAAACUUUUUUAUUAGAGAAGACUAAAGAAAAGGUGCUUAUCAUUCAUUUUACAUGAUAAUAUCGAAGCUAUAACUUGUACUGUGAUUUUUUGAAGAUUGUCAUAUCAGACAUUACAUGUUUGUAAACCUUUUGGUUAACAGUGAACAUUUUGUUCUCUUUUUUCUGAUAUUUUUCUUACUUUAUGGUGCUAUAAGACACUGGAUUAUUAUUUGAUGCUGAUACAACAGUGUGAUUAACUUUGUUUUAGACCUGACUGGGAAAUGUGAUUUGGCAUGUAAUCAUUGAAUUGUUAAAUGUUUUUUUUUAAAUGUCAUAUGAAUUCAAAACUAGGAAAUGAAGUUUGAACUUGCAAUAUGUCUUUAUUUACAGAGGGGCACUAAACAUUAAAAUUAAUUAUCUUUAUUUGUUUUAAUCCUGCUUUGAUGGUUCUGUCUACUUGCUCUGUUUGGGGAUCUGGAAACUAUGCUUUUGCUUUGUACCUUGCUGGCAAAAAUGCUAAUGCAUAGGAAAAAGUUGAGUCUGACUGAAAUUCUUGACUUUGUGGAGGCUUCAAAGAAAAACCCUACAUUUGCUGAGUUCACAAAGGACUUGACAGUGCCUUCUGAUACAAGAGUCAAGGCCAUUUUCGAAAUUUGUGCCCAAGCUAAAUUUUCAGAUGU
rnacentral:misc_RNA from 1 species